rnacentral:tRNA from 1 species
GACUACUCUUAUAAGUUUUGUUUUGAAAACAUUGUUGAAGUAUUAAUUUACUUAGUAGUUU